UGUGUAGAAGCAGGAAAAUAUGC
rnacentral:miRNA from 1 species